CGGAGGAUCCAAGCGUUAUCCGGAAUCAUUGGGUUUAAAGGGUCCGUAGGCGGUUUAGUAAGUCAGUGGUGAAAGCCCAUCGCUCAACGGUGGAGCGGCCAUUGAUACUGCUAGACUUGAAUUAUUAGGAAGUAACUAGAAUAUGUAGUGUAGCGGUGAAAUGCUUAGAGAUUACAUGGAAUACCAAUUGCGAAGGCAGGUUACUACUAAUGGAUUGACGCUGAUGGACGAAAGCGUGGGUAGCGAACAGGACUAGAUACCCUGGUAGUCCACGCCGUAAACGAUGGAUACUAGCUGUUGGGAGCGAUCUCAGUGGCUAAGCGAAAGUGAUAAGUAUCCCACCUGGGGAGUACGUUCGCAAGAAUG
rnacentral:rRNA from 1 species